rnacentral:rRNA from 1 species
CCUACGGGUGGCAGCAGUGGGGAAUAUUGCACAAUGGGGGAAACCCUGAUGCAGCGACGCCGCGUGAGUGAAGAAGUAUUUCGGUAUGUAAAGCUCUAUCAGCAAGGAAGAAAAUGACGGUACCUGACCAAGAAUCCCCGUCUAACUACGUGCCAGCAGCCGCGGGAAUACGUAGGGGGCAAGCGUUAUCCGGAUUUACUGGGUGUAAAGGGAGCGUAGACGGUGCUGCAAGUCAGAAGUGAAAGCCCGGGGCUCAACUCCGGGACUGCUUUUGAAACUGUGUGACUGGAGUGCAGGAGAGGUAAGCGGAAUUCGUGGUGUAGCGGUGAAAUGCGUAGAUAUCAGGAGGAACCCCGGUGGCGAAGGCGGCUUACUGGACUGUCACUGACGUUGAGGCUCGAAAGCGUGGGGAGCAAACAGGAUUAGAUACCCUUGUAGUC